CCUACGGGUGGCAGCAGUGGGGGAUAUUGCACAAUGGGGGGAACCCUGAUGCAGCGACGCCGCGUGAGGGAAGACGGUUUUCGGAUUGUAAACCUCUGUCUUUAGGGACGAAACAAAUGACGGUACCUAAAGAGGAAGCCACGGCUAACUACGUGCCAGCAGCCGCGGUAAUACGUAGGUGGCAAGCGUUGUCCGGAAUUACUGGGUGUAAAGGGAGCGUAGGCGGGAAUGCAAGUUGAAUGUUUAAACUAUGGGCUCAACCCAUAGUCGCGUUCAAAACUGCAUUUCUUGAGUGGAGUAGAGGCAGGCGGAAUUCCUAGUGUAGCGGUGAAAUGCGUAGAUAUUAGGAGGAACACCAGUGGCGAAGGCGGCCUGCUGGGCUCUAACUGACGCUGAGGCUCGAAAGCGUGGGUAGCAAACAGGAUUAGAUACCCUGGU
rnacentral:rRNA from 1 species